UACGAAGGGGGCUAGCGUUGUUCGGAAUCACUGGGCGUAAAGGGCGCGUAGGCGGCUUGUAAGUCGGGGGUGAAAGCCUGUGGCUCAACCACAGAAUUACCUUCGAUACUGCAUGGCUUGAGACCGGAAGAGGUAAGUGGAACUGCGAGUGUAGAGGUGAAAUUCGUAGAUAUUCGCAAGAACACCAGUGGCGAAGGCGGCUUACUGGUCCGGUUCUGGACGCUGAGGCGCGAAAGCGUGGGGAGCAAACAGG
rnacentral:rRNA from 1 species